UAUUGGACAAUGGGGGGAACCCUGAUCCAGCGACGCCGCGUGAGUGAAGAAGUAUCUCGGUAUGUAAAGCUCUAUCAGCAGGGAAGAAAGAAAUGACGGUACCUGUGUAAGAAGCCCCGCGUGACUAAGUGCCAGCAGCCGCGGUAAUACGUAGGGGGCAAGCGUUAUCCGGAAUUACUGGGUGUAAAGGGAGCGUAGACGGUGAUGUAAGUCUGGAGUGAAAGGCCGGGGCCCAACCCCGGGACUGCUCUGGAAACUGCCUGGCUGGAGUACAGGAGAGGUAAGUGGAAUUCCUAGUGUAGCGGUGAAAUGCGUAGAUAUUAGGAGGAACACCAGUGGCGAAGGCGGCUUACUGGACUGUAACUGACGUUGAGGCUCGAAAGCGUGGGGAGCAAACAGG
rnacentral:rRNA from 1 species